rnacentral:rRNA from 1 species
UGAGGAUGGCGGACGGGUGAGUAACGCGUAAGGAACUUGCCUCUUGGACUGGGACAACUGUUGGAAACGACAGCUAAUACCGGAUAUUAUGAGAUUCUCGCAUGGGAAACUUAUGAAAGCUAUAUGCGCCAAGAGAGAGCCUUGCGUUCCAUUAGCUAGUUGGUGGGGUAACGGCCCACCAAGGCGACGAUGGAUAGCCGGCCUGAGAGGGUGAACGGCCACAAGGGGACUGAGACACGGCCCUUACUCCUACGGGAGGCAGCAGUGGGGAAUAUUGGACAAUGGGCCACAAGCCUGAUCCAGCAAUUCUGUGUGCACGAUGAAGGUCUUCGGAUUGUAAAGUGCUUUCAGUUGGGAAGAAGCAAGUGACGGUACCAACAGAAGAAGCGACGGCUAAAUACGUGCCAGCAGCCGCGGUAAUACGUAUGUCGCAAGCGUUAUCCGGAUUUAUUGGGCGUAAAGCGCGUCUAGGCGGAA